GGGAGCGUUGCGGGUGGGAGGGACGUUAUGGAGGGGAAGCCAUUGUAAUCCAUAAGAUGUACUUUGGAAAUUUAUAUUCAUUAAAAAAAAAAGAAAAAAAGGAAAAACAGGUUUUUUAUACUAUUUGUGAACCCUUUUCUUAGUUUAGAGUUAAUCGUAUGUGUAUAAAACUAGAUAAAAAUAGAUCUUAGUAAAAUAUAAGAAUGGGAAUAGGAGAGGGAAGAGGAAGAAGGGUGGGAGUGUGGGUAGAAAGGUACAGAGGGAAGAAUCACCAUAAUCCUAAAGCUGUAUUUGCAAAAUGUAUGAAGUUUGUAUUCCUCAAAUAGAAUGUUACUGGAGGAAAAAAAGACAGGAUUUCAUCCUUUUUUAACAUCUGAGUAGUAUUCCAUAGUAUAUAUAGCCCAUAAUCUCUUUAUCCAGUCAUCAGUUGGUGGACCUCUGGGUUGAUCACCUAUCUUAGCUAUUAUGAAUUGAGCUGCAAUAAACAUGAGGGUAAAGAUAACUCUUUGAUAUGCUGAUUUAAUUUCAGUUGGGUAACAAAAGUGGGAUUGCUAGGUAAUGUGGUAUGUCUAUUUUCAGCUUUCUGAGGAACCUCCAUACUGUCUUCCACAAUGUCUGUACUAGUUUAUAUUCCCACAAACAGUGGAUUAAGAUAACUUUUUGCCCACAUCCUUGCCACCAUUUAUUUGUUGAUUUCUCUAUCAAAGCCAUUCUAACUGGGGUGAGGUGAAACCUCAUUGUGGUUUUGAUUUGCAUUUCCCUGAUUGAUAGUGAUCCUGAGCAUUUUUUUCAUGUGUCUGUGAGCCAUGUGAAUUACCUCUUUUGAAAAAUGUCUGUUCAAGACCUUUGCCCAUUUUUUAACUGUAUUGUUUGUUUUGUUUUUGUUGAGUUUCUUGAGCUCUUUAUAGAUUCUAGAUAUUAAUCCUUUAUCAAUUUAAUAGUCUGCAAAUAUGUUCUCCCAUUUUGUUGGUUGCUCCUUCACUGUGUGGAGUUUUCCUUUUGCAGUGCAGAAUCAUCUCAGCUUUAUGUGAUCCCAUUUUCAAAUUUGGAUCUGAUUACCUGUGCUUCUGGGGUUUCUCUAAGAAUGCUUUGCUUAUGCCAAUGUCUUGCAGAGUUUCCCCAAUGUUCUCUAGUAAUUUGAUGGUAUCCAGUCAUAGAUUUAGAUCCUUGUUCCAUUUUGAAUUGAUUUUUUUUACGGUAUAAGCAAGGGAUCUUGCUUCAUACUUCUGCAUCCAGAGAUCCAGUUUUCCCAGCACUGUGUUGAUGAGAUUGUCCUUUCUCCAGGGAUUGAUUGAUUUGAGCUCCUUUGUCAAAUAUUGGUUGUAGAUACAUGGGUUGAUUUCUGGAGUUUCUAUUCUGUUCCAUUGAUCUACAUCUAUUUUUGUGCCAAUACCAAGCUGUUUUGAUUAUAACUUCCCUGUGGUAUAUCUUUGAAGACCUGAUAUUGUGAUGCCUCUGGCUUUGUUUUCGUUGCUUUAGCUAUUUGGGGUCUAUUUUGUUUCCAUAUUAAUUUUAGCAUUAUUUUUUCUAGAUCUGAGAAGAAAUGUGCUUGAUACUUUGAUUCUUAUCACAUUGGAACUGUAAAUUGCUUUCAGUAGUAUGGACAUUUUGAUGAUAUUGGUUCUUCCAAUCCAUGGACAUUGGAAGAUUUUUCCAUUUUUUGUGUCUUUUUCUGUUUCUUUAAUGUUUUGUAAUUUUUAUUAUAGAGAUUUCACCUCUUUUGUUAAAUGUAUUUUAAGGCACUUAAUUUUUUCUGUAUCUAGUGUGAAUGGGAUUGAUCUUAGACAUUUCUUCUCAGCAUUGUCUGUGUAUACAAAGGCUAUUGAUUUUUGUGUGUUAAUUUUAUAUCCUGCCAUUUUAUCAAGCUCUUUUAUGGGUUCCAGUUUUUUUUUCCCCCCCAGUGGAGUCUUAUGGUUCCCCUACAUAUAGAAUUAUGUCAUCUGCAAAUAGGACUAAUUUGACUUCCUCCUUUCCAAUUUGUAUCCCUUUGAUUUCUUUUUCUGGCUAACACUUCCAGGACUGUAUUGAAUAGCAGUGGUGCAAGUGGAAAUCCAUGUUUGGUUCUGGAUCGUAGUGGAAAUGCUUCCAACUUUUCAUUAUUUAAUAAGAUGCUGGCUGUGGGUGUGUCAUAAAUUGUCUUGAUUGUGUUGAGGAAUGCUCCUUCUAUACUCAAUUUGCUUAAGGUUUCAUCAUGAAAUGAUGUUGUAUUUUAUAAAAUGCUUUCUCUGCACCUAUUGGGAUAACCAUGUAGUUUUUAUUUUUCAGUUUCUUAAUGUAAUUAUUAAGUUGGCCUUCUCUUUCUUGUUGUGGAAAGGGCAAAGUUUUUGUCUCUGAAUCAUUGUGUGAAACACCAUCACAUAUUUCCUAUUUUCUUUUAGCUAACUGUUUCUGAUUUUCCAAUUUAAUGCAAGUUCGAGAUGUAUUCUGUUCAAAUGCUUAGUCGUGCUUGCAGUACCUUAUGUUUAAUGCCAGCCAUAGAUCUCAUUAACAUGCUGACGACUGCCUCUGGCAGACAGCUGCCUAGUUAGUCAAUGGAAACUUUUCUGUUCAAUUGUGCAUUGCUUUGGGAAAUUUUCUCAAUAUUAGAACAAUCCCACUCAGGAUUCUAAUGAGCAAAAUAAGUAGACCAUGACAAAGGAUGUUGGGAGACAGAUUUAGUAUGCCUUCAACUAUUAUUCAAGGGAUUUAGGUAUUAAUAGGUAAGCCUAAUAAUGAAAAUCUCAUGAAGUUUUAGAAAACUGAUGCGUAAAUAAUGGAAUAGUAAGGAAAAACCUACCACAUAAAAAUUAUCACAGGAAUAAUAUUGAGAAAUAUUUCAGUUUGUGAGAAUAUAUUUGUUUUUAGUUUUUAGCAUGGCUGCAGGAUACCCAAAGAAUCCUGUGUUAGUGCUUGACUCUCCCAUGAACUACUUCAGAGAGUUGGAUUAGUCUCAGGUACCUCAUGUCCUUCUUUUUCUUCCUCUGUAAAUUGAAAGAGGCAAACUAGAUGCCUUCCCCAUCCCUGGAAGCAUUGACUUUGUUGUGUUUAUUAACUACUUCAUAUGAACAGAAGAAACCAGCCCGAUAUUGAAACACAUCAUAACAGAUUUGGAAUACUUAGAGUAACACAGUACAGGCAUAAAAAUAGACGGUUAAUGGAAAGAUAUAGAGAUGCAGAAACAGAUUUGGUGCAAUUUAUUAAAUGAUUAAGAUAGAAUUUUUUCCAUCUGGAUAAUAUAGAUGGAAAGUGUAGUAUCUUGGAACAAUUAGUUUAACGGUUAUAGAAGUUUAAAACUGUAUUCUCACUCAUGUUGGUGUCAAAUUGAAUUCAAAAUGGACUAAUGUUUUAAACAUAAGAAAGAAAGAGAAGAGGAAGGAGGAAGAGAGAAAGGAGAGAGAGGAGAGAGCAAGAGAGAGAGGAAUGGAAAGAAAACUUUAAAAAAACAUUUUUAAUAAGAUGACUUUUGUAAGUAUCUUGAUAAAUUCAGAGACUAUAAAGGAAACAUUUAUAUAUUUUACACAUUUAAAAAUUAAAUACUUUUGUAUCAUUGAUUUCUUUUAUAGAAAGCUUUCUCAUAAAUUAAUAGCAAAAGAUGAACAACUCAAAAGAUAAAAGAUUAAAGAACAUGGACAGUUCACAGAAAGAAUAGCAGAAAUAAACCCUUGACAGCCUUCUCAAGGAGAGAAACACCAAGAUGCCAUGUUUAGCUAUGAGUGGCAAAAAAUGAAAUAUUAAAUAGAACUCAGUUUUUUAAGAAAAAAAUUUCAUAUAUGUUGAUGACAGCUUUUUUCUAAUAAGGAUAGAUUAGCAGUAGCUAUCUAAAUCUGAAAUGUAAAUACAUUUAAGUACUUUUAAACAAAAAUUUCCUUUUCACAAUACUUAUCCUACAGUCAACUUGCUGGACCAUGUUUGAAAAUGAUUCUAUUUGUAUUCUUAAAAUUUAUACUUUAUCAACUUUUAAAAAUGUAUAAAAUAAAUUGUUAUUACAUUAGGAAUUACUUGUAGCAUUUGUCUCUGAGGAGGAAAAGAAGGUAGAGAAGGCAUUUAAAAUUUUUACUUUAUAUCAUCUAUACUUCUAUCAUAUUUGACAUUUCUACCAUGACUUGGUAAAUAUAAGUUUUAACUUAAACAAAAAUAAUAUCGAAUGAUAGUAUCAUAAAGUACCUUUUUAAAGGAGUUGUGGAAACCACAAUGAUAAGGCUAAAAUAUAUUUAAGGAAAAACUCAAGCUCAUCUGUCCUGAAAUUGAAAAUAGUAGUUUAAAAAUGUAAUAUGUUAGAAUGUAUACUCUUUUGGAAAAUAAUACAAGCUCAUUAUAAAAAUGACAGUUUCUGGAAUUUGUUCAAAUUGAAUGCUUCGUGUACCAUUUUAAUACUCUAAAAGAUUGCAUAAUAGAAAAUGAGAUCCAUAUCUUACAUUUUUUUCAAAGUUUUUUUUAUUUAUUUGGAAGAGAGAGAUUUUAUAUCUGCUGGUUCACUCCCAAAUGCCCACAGCUCCAGGUCUGAAUCAAGGCAAAGCCAGGAACUAGGAACUUCUGGGUCUCUCAUGUCGGGGUUUCCUGUCUUUUUCCAAUUGCAUUUAGAGGGAGCUGGAUCGUAAGUGGAAAACUAGGAGUUGAGCUGGUGCCCUGAUAUGUGAUGUCAGAAUCAGCAAGCUGUGGCUUAAUCCUUUGCUCCACAGUGCUGUCCUUAAAAUCUUAUAUUCUGUUGGAAAGAACUCAGUGCUUUUUAUUUGAUGAGCUUAUUUGCACACAGAAUGUUUUGUGGGGUAUGUUGGCUAUUUAAACAGUGGCAUGACAAACAUGUUUGGGUUGUUACAUUUGACUUUUGUUUCUUGUGUUACCAACAUAUCCACACAUUUCCCUUUGAUGUGAUCCCAGCAUUCAUUGCUUUUGAAAAUAUAAAUAGGGCAUGGCAGGCGCUGUGACGCAUCGAGUUAACACCCUGACUUGUAGCUCCGGCAUCCCAUAUGGGUGCCAGUUCUAAUCCCGGCUGCUCCUCUUCCGAUCCUGGGAAAGCAGUAGAAGAUGGGCCAAAGCUUUAGGCCCCUAAACCAGGGAGGGAGACCUGGAAGAAGCUCCUGGCUCCUGGCUUCGGAUUGGCACAGAUCCGACUGUUGCAGCCAAUUGGGGAGUGAAACAUCGGAUGAAAGACCUCUCUCUCUCUCUCUCUCUCUCUCUCUCUCUGUAACUCUGACUUUCAAAUAAAUAAAUCAAUCAAAGAAAAAAGAAAAAAUAUACAUGGGGCACCAGCUCAGAUUAGUAAUUAAAAUUUUAAAACCAAACUAUCCAUAUAUACUUACAGUUUAGCAAGACUUUUCUUUUUUUUAGGAACCUGAGUAUCAUUAAAAGACAUGUCCUUUUGUUCCCCAUGUUUACAAUGUAUCAUUAAUUGAUAAUUUGCAUAUAUGUAUGAGUUGAUCGUGUGUAGGAUUUCUCAGAAUGUUCUAAUAUUUUGUUAGUAAUUUUACACUUGUGUUUAUAUAAAAAUUAAUGAAGGUAUAGAUUUUUAUUACAGCAGUGGUUUUAGGGAACAUGAUUCAGAAUGGGUAACAGCACCAAACAUCUGGUAUAGUGUGAAAUAUUUUCAAUCUUAAAAGAAACAUUUUUCCAAGGAGUGGGAUGGCUGGGUCGAACGGUAGGGUUAUCUUCAGGUUUCUGAGGAAUCUCCAGACUGACUUCCAUAGUGGCUUGACCAGUUUGCAUUCCCACCAACAGUGGGUUAGUGUCCCUUUUUCCCCACAUCCUCGCCAGCAUCUGUUGUUGGUAGAUUUCUGAAUGUGAGCCAUUCUAACCGGGGUGAGGUGAAACCUCAUUGUGGUUUUGAUUUGCAUUUCCCUGAUUACUAAUGACCUUGAACAUUUUUUCAUGUGCCUGUUGGCCAUUUGGAUUUCCUCUUUUGAAAAAUGUCUAUUGAGGUCCUUGGCCCAUCUCUUAAGUGGGUUGUUGGUUUUGUUUUUGUGGAGUACCCAAAGGAAUUUAAAUUGGCAAACAAAAAAGCGGUCUGCACCCUAAUGUUUAUUGCAGCUCAAUUCACAAUAGCUAAGACCUGGAACCGAUCUAAAUGCCCAUCAACGGUAGAUUGGAUAAAGAAAUUAUGGGAUAUGUACUCUUUAGAAUACUAUACCGCAGUAAGAAACAACGAAAUCCAGUCAUUUGCAACAAAAUGGAGGAAUCUGGAACACAUCAUGCUGAGUGAAAUAAGCCAGUCCCAAAGGGACAAAUACCAUAUGUUCUCCCUGAUCGGUGACAACUGACUGAACACCAAAAAGGAAACCUCCUGAAGUGAAACGGACUCUAUGGGAAACGGUGACUUGAUCAGCAUAGCCCUGACUGUUAAUGAACAACUUAAUACAUUAUCCCUCUUAGUAGUUUUUUUGUCUGUUCUACUUAAUAUGACUGAUUUAAUUCUGUAAUUAAUACACAGUUAUUCUUAAGUGUUAAAAAUUAACUGAAAUAUGAUCCCUGUUAAACAUAAGAGUGGGAAUAAGAGAGGGAAGAGAUGUAUAAUUUGGGACAUGCUCAAGCUGACUUGCCCCAAAUGGUAGAGUUAAAAACAUACCAGGGGAUUCCAAUUCAAUCCCAUCAAGGUGGCAUGUACCAAUGCCAUCUCACUAGUCCAAGUGAUCAAUUUCAGUUCACAAUUGAUCAUAAUGAAAGGACUAAGAGUCAAAGGGAGCACAUAAACAAGUCUAGUACCUGCUAACACUAACCGAUGGAAUAAAUAAAGGGGAGAGUGAUCCAACAUAGGAAGUGAGAUACUCAGCAGACUCAUAGAAUGGCAGAUGUCCUAAAUAGCACUCUGGCCUCAGAAUCAGCCCUAAAGGCAUUCGGAUCUGGCUGAAAAGCCCAUGAGAGUAUUUCAGGCAUGGAAAGCCAAGACACUCUGGCAAAAGAUCUCUGCGAGUGAGAUCCCAGUGGAAAGAACAGGUCUUCAAAGAAGGAGGUACCUUUCUCUGAAGGGAGGAGAGAACCUCCACUUUGACUAUGACCUUGUCUAAACAAGAUAAGAAUCGGAGAACUCAGAGGGCUUCCAUAGCCUUGGAAACUCAUGACCGGAGCAUAGGGAGACUACUGAUGCCAUAGACAGGAGUGUCAAUUGGUAAAGUCAACAACAGGAGUCACUGUGCACUUACUCCUCAUGUAGGAUCUCUGUCCUUAAUGUGCUGUGCAUUGAGAUUUAAUGCUAUAACGAGUACUCAAACAAUAUAUUUCACUUUGUGUUAUUAUGGGGGUGCAAACUGUUGAAAUCUUUACUUAAUGCAUACUAAACUGAUCCUCUGUAAAAAAAAAAAAAAAAAAAAAAAAAAAGAAAGAAAGAAAUUAUCAACUCCCAACUUGACUCUCACUGGGAUUAAACAUGACAAUAGGUCUGAUCUGAUUUCAUCAUCAUUUAAAAAAAAAAUCAUCUAUUAUUUCUCACUUUAUGUUUCUGUGUGAGAGCAAACUGUUGAAAUCCUUACUUAAUGUAUACUAAGCUGAUCUUCUGUAUAUUAAGAUAAUUGAAAAUGAAUCUUGAUGUGAAUGGAAGGGGAGAGGGAGUGGGAAAGGGGAGGGUAGUGGGUGGGAGGGACGGUAUGGGGGGGAAGCCAUUGUAAUCCAUAAAUCGCACUUUGGAAAUUUAUAUUCAUUAAAUAAAAGUUAAAAAAAAAGUUUUUUAAAUAAAAAGUUUAAAAGUAAAAAAAAAAAGAAACAUUUUUCUGAAAUGAAUGAACUCACAAAUGAAAGUAAUUUGAACUUUAUAGAUGUAUCCUUUUAAUUGCCUAGGUAAAGAAAAAGCAAGCCUAUUGUCUGCCCCCCCCCCAAAAAAAAAGGGAACGAUUCAGCAAAAGCAAAACUAUGGUUAAAGAAUUGGAAUAGAAAUUGAUAUUAAAGUUUUAGAUUAAAUUACUUUUAUUCUCAACAUAUCCAUAUGCCAUAAAAGUGGUUAGAUAACUAGUAGAAUUUAUCCACAGAAAAAGCAUUUUACUAGUAGAAACACUAAAUAGUAUUUAAAACUAUAUUAGUAAAAAUAAUUACAGUAAUUAUUCUAGAAGUCAAAAUGAGAUAAUAUUUAAUACUACCACUGAUAUGUUAAAUAGGAACAUUAUGAUCUACAGAAGAAUAUUUCUGUCACCUUAGUGUAUGCCUCAAACCACCCCAGGAGAAAUAAUACGUGAAAUCAUAAUUUUUUUUAAUUUUAUUUUUAAAGUGUUAUAAUUCAAGGAAAUUAUAUGUAUUUGUGGUGUAUAACAUGAUUCUUUGAUGUAUGCAUACAUUACAGAAGGGCUAUAUCAGGCUAUUAGGAUAUGCAUUACCUCAUGUAUGUAUUAUUUUGUGGUAAGUACAUUUAAAAUCUACUCUCAGCAAUUUUCAACCAUAUAAUUCCAUUAUGAACUAUAGUUACCAAGGUAUACAAUACUUAUAGAUCUUUUGUACUUAUCUCUCUUAUCUAACUAAAAGUUUGUGUCUUUGGCCAACAGAUAAUAUCAUUUAACAAUGAUAUAAAUAUGACUUUACAAAUAGCAAAUAACUUCAAACUAGAAAAGAGUGAUGACUCUUGAUUUUAUUUGGCGGUUUAUUUUGUUGUUUUACAUCACUUUUGAACAAUGGUGUCUAAUAUUCUGUUAGAACAAUGAAUAUCCUGUGCUGUUCGUUUCUUUCUUGUGCUAACACAAAACUAAAUGUGGGAUGGUGUUGAGAGGAGAAACAACUGAGUUAUCAAUGACCAAAUGUAGCUCCUCAAAAAUAAAAAGGUAAAACCAUUUCAAAUUAUGGUGACUAAGGUUAACUAGGUUCCUUGUAAUUUUCCUUAAAUCAGAAACACUUGUAUUAAACCAACCAUAAUAGUCAGUGUGUUAUAUUUGUUUAUAUCUUACAAGAGGCGUUAAAAAAAAGUAGCAAGUGGAAUUAGAUACGCCAAGACAUUCUCUUCUCACUAGGUUAAUCUAGUGCUUAGACAGAAUAUUCCAACAAUAUGGGAGCCCAACAAGACUUCUGAAGUUGACAAACAUGAAUUAAAAACUGGAAAAAGAGUUGUGAGGGGAAAAGUCAAAGAAAAUGCAAUUAUAGGAAAGCACAAAAACAAUUUAAUAAUGCCCUUCAAGUAUACUGGAGACUGUUCAGAACAGCUGAGCAGCUGUUCCUAAUCACCCUUGAACUCUAAACUGAAAAGGGGCACAAUUGUAACAGAUUUAGAUCAAGAAAGAUAUAAUAGCAAAGCAAGAACAAAGGGAUUAUCUCAGAUAUUGUGCCAAAUGCAAGGACACCUAGAAAUGUGUGCUACGUGAAUUUUUCACUCAUAAAGGUAAGGCCACCUGUACAAACCAGCUGCUUUUUUUCACUCAUGCACUCUUUGUUCUAGAAAUAUUAAAAAUAGUUAAAUGAAAACUUGCGAGAUGAUUACAAUGUUGCUAUUCCAAUAACAACUUACAAGUGAUAGGCAAUAGGCACAUUGCCUAGGAGCAGGGAUUAUGGAGUCAUACAUUUCUAGAUUUGAAACCCAUCUCCCCUACUGUCUACUUGAUUGAGCUUGGGCCUAAUUCCUCUAGUCUUUAGUUUAUUCAUUUGCAAAGCAGGGUUACUGCAAUAUAUUAUUUUGAUCAUUGUGAGGAUAGAUGAAUUAUUGGUUGUUUAAUGCUCAACAUAUAUAAAAAAUAUUAAAUGGACUAGUAUAUAACAGUGAAGGUGUGUUCAUUAUACUCUAGUAUUUCAUUCCUUGUUAACAUCAAAGUACUGUGUAUUAAAUUAUAGAAACCUUUCAACUAAGACAGACAAAAAGUAAUAAACACACCAGUCACUUUGUCUACCACUUUUCCCAACUUUAUACUCACUGACUUCAUAAAUAUCUCGGCAUAGUUAAAAAAAAAGUGAGAUGCAAUUUAUCAAGACAUACUUAAUGUCUACAGUCUGUACAUUAUGUGUCAAGAAAAGAUGGCACAGUAUGUGGACACUAGAGGUCUCCCAGGAACGGGCAGCUUCAGGACUGUCGCUCCCCCAUUCGCAGAGGAACGACACUAGACCCUGCGUUGUUCUUUUGUCUGCUCGGCCCUUCCCGGGUUAGCUGCCGUUCCCUCACUCGCGGGGGAACGACACCGUCCCGGGUUAGCUGCCGGCCCCUCCACCUCCGUGGAGGGGCAGCACCCCCCCCCCCCGCCGCUUUCCCCGCUUCCGCGGAUGAGCGGCACACCACACACUCUCGGGGGCUGCUCAGAUGUUAUCCGGAUGUUCCUGGUGUAUGUUGUCUCUCUCCUCCUUUAUAUGUCCUCUUCCACCAAUCCCAACUCUGCUAUCCACACGCCGAGCACGCUGCUCUCCUCCAACCAGGAGCAGGAUCAGCUCCUGCAGCUUGUCAAACUGAUGAGGCAGCUGCGUAGAGGUUGUUUGGUCUCUCUCUCUCAGCGCCAUAUUGUGGGAGAGCAGAUGCAUAGAAUAAGUCUUACUUCCAGUAAUUUAGUCUAGUCUCAGUUGCUCCCCACAGGACAGCAGGAAGAAAAGGAAGAAAAUGACAGAAUCGACAGGACAAGGGUGAGAGAACAUAGUUGUACAACUCAUGCAGAUUAGGAUUACUAGAAAUAGAAGUAGAACUAGAUUAGUGGUCAAAAUAGUGGCCAGUAGUGGCCAGGCAAAUAUUCUGCAACCAGAAGACACAGAGGAGGAGCAAAGACCAGGCAUGGAAGCAGAGGCCCUUGGAGCAAAUCCUAGCACAGAAGAAAUGCAUUAGUCCUGUCUCAGUGCCUCUGUUCUACUCUCACUCUGCCAGUGGAGCUUAAGUGACUCAGGUUUGGAUGGCUGCCAUUGGUGAAAUUACAGCCUGUUGCCUAGGUCACACAUGGAGAGGGGUAGACAGUUCUCUGGCAGAAGUACCUUCUUGGUGCAAUGUAAUCAUGAGCCUCUCAGUCCUUUGGGACCAGUUGCUUGUGGUUUGGAUACAUAAGAUGUUGAUAUAGUGUUUUAAUUUAUUAUUAAUACCUUCUUUUAACUUGUGGCUUAUAAAUAGUGCCUUUGCCAUGACCACUUAAAUAAUGAGACUCAUCCUCAUACAUAAUUUACUAUAGAAAUAAUAAAUGGUUUCUGGAAGGGAUUGUCUAUUGGACUUUGGUAAUCAACCUGACAUAGGCAGAUUUUUUAUCUGUCAUUUUUCUAAAUUGAAUGCACUGUUUAAUUACCAUAAAGGUAUUGAUGUAACUGCACUUCCUUUUUCUGACAAUACAAAAACAGUUGCUAUGUUUUUUGUAUUUACAAUGUAAUUCAUAACUGAAAGAGAGUGUAGAUUGCUUUUUGUCAUCAAUAACAUAGCCCCAAAGGAGAUAUUUCUGUCAAAAAUAGUCUUCUGAAUACACCAUAAUCAUUAGAGGUGAUUUUCUUUGUGAUCAUACAUGAAGAUGAGGCAUCUCAUUCAGAUUUGGCUAUAAGUUAAGCAAUUAUUUUUAAUUCAUUAGAAUCUUACUCUCAAUUUGAUCAUACCCAUGAAAUUAAGACUCUGUAGAUCAUACGGUAACAUCCACUUCUAUAAGAAGACAUAAAUAUUUUCUGCAUACUUUAAGUAUACAGAGCAUUCGUUUCUCCUAAGUUGUCAGGUGGAUUUGUUAUUUGAAAUUAUCUAAAGCAGUAGUUCUCAAAGAAUAGUCCUUAAGUUAGUAGCAUCAGCAUCACCAGGAAAUUGUUAGAAAUGCAAACUCUUAGGUCCCACCCCAGACCUACUGAUUCAGAACUAUGCGGAGUGGGGCCUGUCAUCUGUAGUUCAACAAACUCUCUAGGUGAAUCUAAUGCACACUCAAGUUCGAUAAUCAGUGUUGUAGUAGAUCAAUUAUCAUCGGGUGCUUCAUGACAAAUUUCAGUCAGCAACAGACUGCAUAUACCAUGGUGGUCCCAAAAGAUUGUGUCACCUAGUGAUGCCAUUGUCAGUUUAAUUUGUGUAAGUACCCUCUAUGUUGUUUGCACAAUGAGGAAAUCAUCGGAUGAUGCACUUCUGAGAACAUAUCCUCAUUGUUAAGCAACACAUGAGUCAUAGUUGCUUCAUUUAUGUGACUGUGAUUAAUUCAUUUAUUUGAUUAACAUAAAUUAAUAUAGUCUAUGACAUGGUAGCCACCACGAGGCAUAGUCAAGGGGUUAAUCUUAAUGUUCACCUUCAAGAAGCUUAUAAUCUGAGAUACUAACUAACAGUUGCACAGUUAAUUAUUACAGAAGUCUAAUAUAUGUCUCAGUAUAGUAUGUGAUGAAUUACCAGAUUAAAAAAGAUGGUAUGAUGUUGUCAAUAAGAACCUCUUACAGGAUUUGGGCUUUGGUAGGAUCAUUUGAGGGAGGAUCUGUAAAAAGUAGGGAUUUUUCUCUAAAUUAGAUGCCCAAAAGUAGGAGCAACGCUAAGACUGGGUAUCACAUUAAAUCUUACCCAUCAGGAGGGCAGAUGAGUGAGGAUAACCUGCAAUUUGUAAAGAAGCAGCAGUCACUCAUUUGAGUUGAGAAAACCGGAAAUGUGCCAUUUCAUAGACAGUAAAGUGACCUUGUUUUUGUCUGUGCUUAGACAAAAUUAUGAAGUGGCCUUGUUUAGUUUCACUUUUUAUCAUGAUCACAGGAUGAACUUGUCUGAUUUCGGUGUUCUGAGAUUGUUUUAUAGGAGAAAGCAGGGCUUACUUGGGAGUGCCAAGCCAGCUUCCAGAGGUCAAGAAGGGGGUUGUUUUCCUUUCUCAGGUGCUGCAUGUUUCCUUCUUCUAAAAUCAUUUUCACUGCCUCUGUUAAGUCACCUAUAACAGCAUAUUUUGAGCAAACAAUGCAGGGCAUGUUAUAUUCAGUAAAAAUUUGAAAAAUGAAUGAAAAAAUGAGUUAUUUAAACCAGCCAGAUACAUAGGAUAUGGCACCUCCCUUCCAUUCCUCAUUGAAAACCACUAAUCAAAAGACUUUGCAAAAAAAAAAAAAAUAGAGAAGUCUUUAUAAGGAAAGUGUUAGUGAACCAUACAAAGAAAUAAGAUCUGAAAGGUAAGUGAGGAUGAGUUUUGUAUUUACCAGUUACGUUAUAGUUUUGCCAAAUACACUCAUCAUUUCUGAUCAUAUUCUUUUGGGAAUUCUUUUUUUCCCUUUUGGGAAAGGGAGCAACUACUCAUAGACUCACUAGUCAUUGAUACUGUUUUGUCACUGUGAAGUGAAAAGGUAAUACAAAGAAAACGCAUGUACGUUAGGCAUGCAUGCAUGUUAGAUAUGUAUUGCCAUACUUAGAACAUUAUUUCCUUAUGUAUGUUAUUGUAUAUGUCUUGAAACAUCAUUUCCUUUCCUCUGAGUCUCUGCUGGACCCUCAAGUUCUGUCACCACUUCCACUAUAUUUGCUUUUCAGACCUACUUUUAGAAAACGUGUUAUGAGAGAGAUGAAUCCUCCUUUGGUAAUAAACUUCAAAUACUCAUAUUAGUAAUACUUAAAAAGAAUGGUGGGAGUUGCUAUUAUGAAUUUUCAUCAGUGGAGUCAAGUAAGGAUUUCAAGGAUAGCAUUUAUACGUAUGUAAGAUUUCAAAGUUCUUGGACAAAGUGGGUUAUACUUUUUAAACUACAUUUUAUAGAGACUCUGAAUACUUAGAAUUUCUGUAGGUACUGAUUUCAAUUUCUUAAAAUAACCAGUGAACUUUAUUGAUCAGAGAUCACUCAGUACAAAAUGGGACACGAAUGAAACAAACAUUUUGAUAUAAGUUUUUAUCUAAAAGAUAUGGCUUAUUUGUCCUUUUAAUUUCCAAAUAUAUGUAUGUCUCCUACCAUGAUAUUAAUGUACACAUAUGUUUUCAUUGAGGAAAACACAGAGUUCAGUGAAAAGGCCCCAGGAAGGAAGAAGUCACUAGAAGAUAAAGAUGGAAGUAGGGACCAUGAAGUGUGAAUUCUGGUAUGAACAUAAUAGAAAAUAAUUCUGGAAAUAAAUGCAAGUAAUUUUAUAAUAGAAAGAAGAUAAAGCAUAAGAUAAGAGAAACAUGUCCUAAAGGAAAUGGAAGUGCUUAGUUCAUUUUCUCUUUGUAUUAUAAAAAUAUACGAGCCUGAGUAUUUUAUAAAGAAAAGAGGUUUUCUUAACUCACAGUUCCGGAUGGCCAAGAGCAUGAUGCUGGCUUCUGCUCAGCUGUGGUGAGGGCCUUCCAGCUACAUCACCACUUGAUGGUUGGCAUCAUGGUGGGAGAACAUCCUAGAGGGAGAGAUCACAUGGCUCAGCAGGAAGCCAGGAAGACUUAGGGGCCAGGUUACUGUAAACAACUCACUCCCUUAGGAACUAACUGAGGUCUCACUAGAAGUAGAAUACUCCCUUCUGGGUAUGAUGCCCUUAGUGACCUUAUUUCCUCCCACUUGACCUGAUUUCCUAAAAGUUCCACAGCCUCCACAUCAGAACACUGUGACCAAGCGGGCAGCACAUGAAUUUUUGGGGGCCACAGUUAAACCGCAUCCAAACAGAGCAGACAAGAAAGGUAAGAUCCAGGAAUUGAAACUUGUCUUUUUUUGUCGCUCCCCCUCUUCAUGGAGGAACGACACUAAGCCCUGCCUAGGCUUCAUAUCCGAGUCACGGCACCAUUAUGUCGCUCCCCGUCUUCGUGGAGGAACGACACUGAACCCUGCGCUGUUCUUUCGUCUGCUCGGCCCUCCCCGGGUUUGCUGCUGGUUCUUCCCGGGUUGGCUACCAACCCUUCCACCUCCGUGGAAGGGCGGUUCCCCCUGCCACAUUCCCCACUUCCGCGGGGGAGCGGCACACCGCCGGCCGGCUCUCUCGGGGGCUGCUCAGGUGUUCCUUCAGAUAGAUGUUCCUCUUAGAUGUUCCUGGUGCAUGUUGUCUCUCUCCUCCUUUAUAGUCCUCUUCCACCAAUCCCAACUCUGCUACCCACACGCCGAGUACGCUGCUCUCCUCCAAUCAGGAGCAGGUCCUACAGUUUAUUGGUUGAACUGGAGGCAGCUGUGUAGAAGCUGCUUCUCCCUUCUCAGCGCCAUAUUGUGAGAGAGCAGAUGCAUAGAAUACGUCUUAAUUCCAGUAACUUAGUCUAGUCCGAGUUGCUCCCCACACCAAGCACCAUAUCCCACACUAACUGGCUGAAGAAUGUUGGAAAAGUUAUUGGAACUUUGAAUUUCAAUGACCUUCCUGUAGGGAUAAUGCCUACUGGGCAGGUUUGUUCUGAAGAUUAACUGAGACACUGUAAAGAGGAUGUUUAUGGUCAACUUCUCUGUGUGGUAAUGAGGGUGAAGGUGCUAGCAAUGGAGAGAGAAGUAAUAGAAGUAGUAAUCCAUGUCAUGCAAUAGUUCCUCAGGAUCACUUGUUGAUCCAUUUAGGGCCCUAACAAAAUAAUUUGCUUUAGGGGCUGGCACUGUGGCAUGGUAGGUAAAGCCACCAUCUGUGACACUGGCAUCCCAUAUGGGCACCAGUUCAUGUCCCAGCUGUACCAUUUCUGAUCCAAUUCCCUACUAAUGGCCCCAGGCCAGUGGAAGAUGGCCUAAGUGUGUGAGCCCCUACUACCCCCAUGAGAGACCCACCUGAAGCUCAUGGCUCGUGGCUUCAGCAUGGCAGAGCGUUGGCCAUCACAGUCAUCUAGGGAGUGAACCAACUGGUGGAAGAUCUCUCUCUCUCUCUCUUUCUCUCUCUCCCUUUCUACCUCUCUGUCUAUAACUCUUUCAAGUAAAUAAAGCUUUUAAAAAUUGCUUUAAUGGUACUCAUGAGUGACACUUUAGAAUUGUCUAAAGGCAUGAAUAUAUGAUUUAUACUGUAUAGUUUGCCUUCAUUUGUUAGAUUUUUUUGUCUUAAUACAACAAUCCUAUUUAUUAUAAGUUUAUCAUAUUUUUUCUUUUACAAUGUUUGAGGAACUAUACAUUUUAAAAUUAUUAAUUGUUUAUUCAAGAGACAGAGAGCUUCUAUCUGCUGAUUCACUUCCCAAAUGUCUACUGUGGCUGAGCUAGGCUGAAGCCAGGAACUCAGCCCUGGUCCUCGACAUGGGUGGCAGGAACCCAAUGACUUGAACCAUCAAUGCUGCCCCCCAAGGUGUGUGUGUGUGUGUGUGUGUGUGUGUAUAUAUAUAUAUACAUAUAUAUAUGUAUAUAUAUAUAUAUAUAUAUAUAUAUAUAUGUCUUGGCUCCUCUCCCAAUUCCAGCUUUAUGCUAAGGUGUUCCAUGUGAGGCAGCAGGUGUAUAUAUAUAUAUAUAUAUAUAUCAGAAGCUGGAAUCAGGAGCCAGACCUGGAGAAGGACUCCUGGUAUCUUAAGCUCUAGGCAAACUGUCCACCCAGAUUGUUGACUUUUUGGCCCAUGACAAAAAUAUUGUCAUCCUCAAAGAAAUGCUUGGGCACACACAAUAUAAAUGUUUUCUAUCCACACCACCCUGACAUAUGCAUCUCUGUGAUCAUUCACUCAACUACUGUUUAUUUAGCAUUGUCUAUGUGCAAAGCACUAUAUUGUGAAGAUUACAAAUAUUAAUCAGAAAGGAAACUUCGUUACCAAGAGCAUCUAGAUGUGGAGAUAAGAGGUCUGUGGAAAUAAGCUUUCAUAUGGUAGGAAGUGGAUUUUACUGCCAAUACACACACCCUCAAGUUUAGAAGGGAGAUAGAAUGCUUUCUUAAUGUGCAAAUUAUAUGAUUAUGCGUUAGGAAAACUAAUUGUACUCAAGUAAAAUCUAUGAGAUAAGUGAAAUAGUUAAUUAAGUUAAAAAAUUAAAAUGUGAAUAUUUCUAGUUUUUACAAAGGUAAUUAGUUAAAAUAGAAUGGGGAAAAAAAAAACAAAUUCAUAGUGGCCAGAAAAAAAAUCCAACAUAGUAAUAAAUAGUAAUAAGCAAAACAGGCAUAAUUUGAAAAUUCAUGUGGAUAGAAUGGGAUUUCAGGUGGAGGAACAAGAUACAUAAAGACAGAAUAAGGAAAUGAGCAGAUGUCAUAGGUGAGAAACAGUAGGAGUAAUGCUCCUCAAAUUUUAAUGUACAUUUGAUCACCUGAGUUCUUAUUAAAAUGCAGAUUCUGAUUUAGUAGGUCUGAGAUGGGGCCUGAGAUUCUGUUUUUAACAAACUCUUAAAUGAUUUCUGUGCUGCAAAUUAAGUGAUCCCCUUUUAUGGAGCAAGAGUUUAGAAUACAUGAAGCAUAACUAGAGAAGUUACGUUGGGGCUUUAAGGAGAGCAAUAAUUGCAAGUUAAAAAUUUUGAGUUUUAUUAUGCAGAAAGUAAAGAUUUCUGAAAACAAAAAUUACUGUUAGUAUUGCUGAAUUCUAGCAAAGUUAAUGACCUAGAAUGUUUGAGAUAGAGAUUUUGAAAGGACAGUUAAUAGUGCAAUGGUUUAGACUUCAUUUGGGACACUCACAUCCCUCAUCAAAACAUCUGAGUUUGAGUCCCAACUCUGGCCCCAAUUCUAACUUUCUGUUAAUGUGCAGCCUGGGAAGGAACAGGCAAAGGAUCAAGUAUUUGGGUCCCUCCCACCCACAUGGGAGACUCAUAUUGAGCUUUGACCUGGCUCAACCCCAGCUGUUGUGGGCAUUUGGGGAGCAAUCAGUGGGUGGUAGAUCUCUCUCUUAGUCUCUGUAUCUCUUGUGCCUUUCAAAUAAGUGAAAUUAGUUGAUUACUUUUCAAAAGAUGGAGUUUUUGUUUUCUGAAUUGAAUAGUGUUGCUGAAAGAAUAAUACACACCUUCUUUUUCUGCACUAAACAAGGAGCUCUUACUUUAUGGAUUCUCAAGCAUCUGCCUCCUUAACAACCUAACACUAUGGUUGGAUGCUUUGUAAUCAUUGGACAAUUAGGUCCCCAUAGUAUAUGUAAUUUUAUUUGAUUUAUAUCACCAAAAUCUACCGAGAAGUAGGUUUCUAAGAGACCAUAUUGUAACUCAGUUUUCAUGGGUAACAGCUAGGUAGAGAAAGUUUGAGCUAUAAAUUCAAUUAAAAAUUGUUUAAGAAUCAAAUAGUAUCAUGGUCAAGCAGUCUUGUUAUCAUUUUAAAUAAGACAUACACGUAUGGAAAAUUCUGGAGAUGAGAUUUCAGUAAUGGCAAUAGACAAUAGAAUAUCAAUGACUUUUGUUUUUUCCUAUUUAUAUUUCUAUUUACUUUUCAUUUCCAUUUUUAUCUACUCAAUAUAUUGAUUAUGUAGAUUUUAAGAUACAUAACCCUCUUACAAAAGAAAGGUGUUAAAUCUGACUGGUAAGAAUAUUAGUGUUUAAGAAAAGAACCUCAGAGAUUGUUUACUAUAUGUCCCCAUUAUUUAACAAAAGAGGAAUAGGAAACCUAAAAUGAUUAAGUGAAUUCUCUUAAGUUGAAUUAUGAGGGAGAGUUGGGGCUACUUAUAUUUUGUGACUCUCAACCCACAAUCCCACAACAAAGUGGCACUCCCCAAGAGAAUCUUUUAGUGAUAUCUCCUUGUAAAAUAUUGUGUGUGCUUCAGCUUGCCAUAUUCAUAAACUAUAUACAUGCAAAUCUCUGCACAGCUCUAUUUCUUUUCCAAACAUUUGGUCUUCUGAGUCUGUCCUUAAUUUUCGUCCAUGGCACAGUGGCAAUUUCCAAAGACUAUUUUAUAUGAAUGAAUACUACAGCUAAAUACUUAAGUGUAUUUUUUUAAUGCAACCAGGAGAACCUAUUUGCACAAUUUUCUUUAUAUAAUUUUUAUGUGUGAGAGCGAAAGAAAGAGAUGGGGGUGGGGGAGAGGCACACUACCAACCACUGGUUCCACUGGUUCACUCCUGGAAUGCCUGCAAAGGUCCUGGACCUGGAACUGAAGUGGGGAGCCACAAAUUCAGUCCAGAUCUCUUACAUGAGUGGCAGGAGCCCAACCACUUGAGCCAUUACCUGCUGCCUCACAUGGAACACCUUAGCAUAAAGCUGGAAUUGGGAGAGGAGCCAAGACAAACCCAGGCACUCUAAUGCAUGGACCUUUAAGUGACAUCUUGCCUGUUAUGCCAAAUGCCUUCCCUAAACUUGAACAAUUUUCAUGGUUUUGUUUUUAUAAAUUUACUUGUUUAAUUUCAAUCAUAAAUGCUUUAAAGCUGUUAGUAAAAUUAAGAUGUGUAUUUUCUCUUAACUGAAAACACUUAAGAUCUACCAGCAGCUACUUAGAGCUCUAGAAUGGUCAGUAUUUGGAAAAUCACAUCUAGGCAGGCAUUUGUCUUGCCUAUUCAGAUGCCUGCAUCACACAGGGAGUACCUGGGUUCAAUACUCUGGUUCUAGCUCCCUGCUGAGGCAGAGAAGCUGGCUUAAGUAAAUGGGCUUCUGCCACCUGUGUGGGGGAUCUGCAUUUAAUUCCUGGUAUUGGGUUUCUAUUUCUAUGGUUGUGGCAAUGAAUCCGUCUCUCUCUUUCUUUCAAAAUAAUUUUUUUUAAAAAAAAAGAGACUGUCUAUAUCCAGUAAGUUUUUUCAGAAUAAAAUAAAUGUUGAAGACAUGUCUUCUAAUUCUUUUUAUAGCAACACAUGGUGUAAUUCCUUGGAGAGUCAUUGCUGAGUAUAAUUUACAUAUGGACUAGGAGUAAGAAUGAGACUAACAUAGAUAACAAAAUUGGUAAGGUGUUUUUUUUUUGUUUUGUUUUGUUUUUUUUUUUUUUUUUGACAGGCAGAGUGGACAAAGAGAGAGAGAGAGAAAGGUCUUCCUUUUUCUCUUGGUUCACCCUCCAAUGGCCGCUACAGCCAGCGCACCGCACUGAUCCGAAGCCAAGAGCCAGGUGCUUCUCCUAGUCUCCCAUGGGGUGCAGGGCCCAAGCACUUGGGCCAUCCUCCACUGCACUCCCGGGCCAUAGCAGAGAGCUGGCCUGGAAGAGGGGCAACCGGGACAGAAUCCGGCGCCCAGACCGGGACUAGAACCCGGUGUGCUGGCUCUACAGGCGGAGGAUUAGCCUAUUGAGCCGUGGCGCCGGCCAGUAAGGUUUUUUCUUAAACUGAUUGUUCUUAUUUCUUAGUAGUUUUUUUCUUUAAAGAUUUAUUUAUUUAUUUUAAAGUCGGAGUUACACAGAGAGAGAGAAAAAGAGGCAGAGGCAGAGAGAGAGAGAUAGAGAGAGAGAUCAUCCAUCCGCUGGUUCACUCCCCAGAUGGCCACAACUAUCAGAGCUGCGCCGAUCUGAAGCCAGGAGCCAGGAGCUUCCUCUGGGUCUGCCACAUGGGUGCAGGGGCCCAAGGACUUGGGCCAUCUUCUACUGCUUUCCCAGGCCAUAGCAGAGACCUGGAUUGGAAGUGGAACAGCCGGGAUUCGAACUGGCACCCAUAUGGGGAUGCUGGCUCUACAGGCAGUGGCUUUACCUGCUACGCCACAGCACCGGCCCCCUUAAUAGUUUUAUUGUGGAUGGCUCAAUCAUAAAAUUAGAAAUCACUUCCAAUAGAUUACAUUUUGAAAAUAUGCUUUAUAACUAGCUUUAUUGAAAUGAAAUUAACUUAAUUAUAUUAUUAAAAUCAAAAUAAAUACUAUUGCCUAUGUUAAAACUUCAUAACUAAAUUAUAUAAAUUUUAAAAUUAAUACAAUGUAUUCUUCAUCAUGCUGAAAGUCAAAGUACAUCAAAUCAGUUCUUUUAAAAGGUCCCCUUCACAAUAGUCCAUGUCUCUCAUUUAUACUACCGGUUUCCCUCAAGUAGAUAUUUAGAAUUUCCUCUGAAUACCUGUUUCUUUCUAAUUACAAUCACUUCCAAAUUAGCAGUUGUCUUGGGAGAGAUUACAGCUGCCUUGAAGCAAAUAUAGUGUCAGUCCUUUUUAAUAAUGGCAGUAAUGUCCCUAAGAGCAUCUUAUUUCAGAAUAUUUAGGAGUUAAGUGUGAUAUAAACUUAGUACUAAAUACAUAGAUGAUUUUCUAAAUAAUGUUUCAGUUAGCAUUUUAAAGAUUCUAGUGUCACAUAGUCAUAUUUUCUCCUGUGGCUGUAUUGAGGGUUUAUUAAUAUGGUCCCAGAUAAAUUGGUCUCUAAAACAUUUGGGAGCCGAAUGGCAAAAUAAUGUAAUCUUAUGUGUUUAUGUUUGAUGUUGUAUGUAUGUAUAUGCAUAUACGUAUAUAUGCAUGUAUAUGCACACUUCUUAUUUAGCACUGGUUUAUAAGACAUGAAAUUCACCAUUAAAAGGGGGUAAAAUCACAUCAAUUGAGGCCUGAUUUUCCAUGAAAAAGCAUAUUUUAAAUUGAUACAAGUGCAUUGUUUUAAGGUGCAAACUCUUAUCUCAUAGCAAUUUGUUGUGAACAGGGUCCUGAUAACUUUAAUUUCCUCACCAGUGAGAUUCUAGCCAUAUUUCUCAGUCCUUAUUAGCUCAGGAAGGCUUCCAUCAGCAGGAUUCUCUUUCUCAUUUAAGAAGAAUGCAUAACAUCAGCCUGAAUUAUCUUUAACAUGCCUGUCUUUAAGCAUGCUUCAAUGAUAAGUUGUUCUUUGCCUUAUUUGUAUAGUAUCACAUUCAUUGUAAUAUUUAUUCUUUGUUAAAGGCAAACAUAGUUUCUUCAAAGAAGUAGAAUCAAUUGGCUAAAUUGUGAUUGAUUCACUCAUUGAUUAAUUGAUUCAUUUAACAAACCCCAUUGAAUGCUUGCUGUAUAAUAGGCACUUCACUGGCUACAAAAUAAUCCUGAUUUGGUAAACAUCUUCCAGAAGCUCCAAAUAUCAAGAAAAAUGAAGCAGGUGACAGUAUAGAUAGAACAAUAUUGUCAACCUUGUUGACAGCUGGUAAGUUGGGUGAUGGGUAUCUUACCAACUUCACAUUCAUUAUACUUUUCUCUUUUUAAUAUAUUUGAAAUUUUUCAUCAUAGAGAGGAUUUUUUUAAGUGAGUCUUUCAUCAGAACUCAUUGUACUCAAUAGAGGAUGUGUAUCUGUGUAUCCCAUUUCUUAAAAUAAACCAAUUCACCUCAGACUGCUUUUCCUUUGAUCUUUCUAAGAGUGACAGACUCCUUCUUCACAAUACAGCCAUUUUCCCCCAAAAUCAGUUUCUAGAAUUUUCCACACUGAAAAGGAAAAAAAAUAA